rnacentral:rRNA from 1 species
GAGGUGCUUCGGGCGCGACGGCGGUCCAAGUUCCUUGGAAUCGGACGUCGAAGAGGGUGAGAAUCCCGUAUUUGGCCGAUCGUCAAGCCCACUGCGAAGCCCUUUCGACGAGUCGAGUUGUUUGGGAAUGCAGCUCCAAGCGGGUGGUAAAUUUCAUCUAAAGCUAAAUACCUGCCAGAGACCGAUAGCGCACAAGUAGAGUGAUCGAAAGAUGAAAAGCACUUUGAAAAGAGAGUCAAACAGCACGUGAAAUUGUUGAAGGGGAAGCGCUUGCAACCAGACUCGCACGCGGGGGCUCAGCCGUUCCUCGGGACGGUGCACUCCCCCGCGAUCGGGCCAGCGUCGGUUUCGGCGGCCGGACAAAGGCCCGGGGAACGUGGCUCCCUCGCGGGAGUGUUAUAGCCCCGGGUGCAAUGCGGCCCGCCGGGACCGAGGACCGCGCAAUUUUUUUUGCUAGGAUGCUGGCGUAAUGGUUGCCAGCGACCCGUCUUGAAACACGGACCAAGGAGUCGACCGGCGACGCGAGUGUUCGGGCGUCAAACCCGGGCGCGCAAUGAAAGUGAACGGAGGUGGGAGCCCCCUUCCUCGGGGGCGCACCAUCGACCGAUCCUGAUGUCUUCGGAUGGAUUUGAGUACGAGCGCCGCCGGUCGGACCCGAAAGAUGGUGAGCUAUACGUGGAUAGGGUGAAGCCAGAGGAAACUCUGGUGGAGGCUCGCAGCGGUUCUGACGUGCAAAUCGAUCGUCAAAUCUGCGUAUAGGGGCGAAAGACUAAUCGAACCAUCUAGUAGCUGGUUCCUGUCGAAGUUUCCCUCAGGAUAGCAGCAACGAAGAAACAGUCUCAUGAGGUAGAGCGAACGAUUAGAGGCCUUGGGGCGGAAACCGCCUUAACCUAUUCUCGAACUUCGAAUAUGUGAGAAGUCCCUGUUACUUGAUUGAACGGGGACACUUGGAUGUGUCGUUGCUAGUGG